UGGGGAAUAUUGGACAAUGGGCGCAAGCCUGAUCCAGCCAUGCCGCGUGAGUGAUGAAGGCCCUAGGGUUGUAAAGCACUUUCACCGGUGAAGAUAAUGACGGUAACCGGAGAAGAAGCCCCGGCGAACUUCGUGCGAGCAGCCGCGGUAUUACGAAGGGGGUUAGCGUUGUUCGGAUCUACUGGGCGUAAAGCGCACGUAGGCGGACUUUUAAGUCAGGGGUGAAAUCCCGGGGCUCAACCCCGGAAAUGCCUUUGAUACUAGAAGUCUUGAGUAUGGUAGAGAUGAGUGGAAUACCCAGUGUAGAAGUGAAAUGCGUAGAUAUUCGGAGGAACACCAGUGGCGAAGGCGGCUCACUGGACCAUUACUGACGCUGAGGUGCGAAAGCGUGGGGAGCAACCAGA
rnacentral:rRNA from 1 species